rnacentral:lncRNA from 1 species
AAAACGUUAAUAACACACUUACCAAACGCGCAAUAAUGAUGUAGGACAACCGGAGGUAAUUUGGAACCUAACGAAAAUAAUAAACAAAGAAUAGGGAAAGAGGGAUGGGAAUUUUGACAGAGAGGGAGAUGAGAAUCCAGAAUUUACAAAAAAAAAAGAAACCAAAUAGGAUAUUUUGAUAUCCCCCUAAUCAUUUCCCCCUUAAUUCUCUCCACCAAAUCCCCACUAUUUAGAAUUCUAUCGCCACUCAAACUCCUCCCCAUAAUCGUGUAAAAAUAAAUUUGAAGCCAGG